rnacentral:lncRNA from 1 species
GGAGGAGGAGGAUGCGGAGGAUGCACCACCUCCCUCUCUCUCUUUCUCUUCCCCCCUCCCUCUCUCUUUGGUUCAGGACGCUUUCCAAGCCUCUCCCCCUCGCUACAUUUCCCCAUCCUUGCAGAGGGUGCUGGGAGGUGUUUGCAAGUUGUUUUUUUUCCUUCCCCCCCCCCCCCACGCACACACACACUCCGUUUCCUCCCCCUUUGCUAAAUAAAUUAAAAGCAGAGAUGUCUCCUGAUGGAGAUGGAUGAGGCUGGGCUCACUUGCAUGCACUGUGCCCCAGCUCCGAUCUGCUGCUUAGGGCAGAAGUGACCUUUCCCAGGCAGUGGGAGGGAGCUUCCCCCCACCCUGCUAUGCUGCUGCUUGGAAUUCAUCUUACAUAGCAGCCUCAUUUUUUUUUUUUUAUCCCCCCCUCCAAAGAACAGCUUGCUGCUACAGUGAUUGUUUUUUAUUAUUUUUAUUUAAUUAUUAUUUUCAGCCCAUGUUGCAGCUUCCUUAUGAUCGUUUUGUGUGUGUGUGUGUGUGUGUAUGCUUUGAACUGCAUUUUAAAUUUGCCCAGCUGGAGACAAGUCUCGAUUAGAGCUGGAACAAUAGCUCCAUUUUAUUAAUAAUGGGAAGGAUUUACGAUUCUACAGCACCUUCCUUGGAAGGCUUUCAAAACCAUUUGCAAACUCUCACAAAUGUAAGCUUUCACAGCCCUGCCUGUGAGGUGGGUAAGUAUUUCCACGGUGCCACCAAAAAUCAGGGAGAGCUGCAGUCGGUGUGUGCUCCAAUAACGGCAGAUCCGGUCACCAUGACUUCAAUGUGCACAGUCCAAGCAGUCACUUGUGAGCAAGGAGAGCAGGUAUUGGCACCUCCUCAUUAGCCUUCAUCAAUGAGAAUAUUGGCUAUGGUGUUGCGUGAGUGCCACUGGCUGACCAAUGGAGGGGCCCUACCCUGCUAAGCUGGAGCAACACUUUCUGAGUGGUGAUUUCAUUGCCUGGUUGCUGCAGUGAUUUGGAGCACAGCUGUGACGUUAUGCUUUUUCUGGCAAAAAUUUAGCUGAGGGGUAAGUAUGAGAUGUCCAGGCCAGAUUUCAUAGUGUGAUGGAGAGCUGGGAGAAGCUGGUGCGUGGUGUAUGUGAAAACUGCCAAUUGCUUGUGUUCCUAAAAAGGCUCAUCUGUGUUUGAAUUAAACCAGCCUGGAUAGGACGUUCAUUUUAUCCUCUUGUUAGGGAUGUAUUUGGAGAUAUGCCUGGUGCUGAUUGGUGGCCUCUGCUGGCCUGCAGGUACAGGGGACCAACAAACUGUUUGGGAUGCCUUCAUGUUUUUCAGGCCACUGUACCCUGUGGGAAUUGUACUACUUUUCUGUGGCAGUUUGGGAUAACUGAGGGCUUCCUUGGGAGUGUUGGACUUCUACCGCCACACGCUUUGGAUUGAAGAGUUACCAGAACGACAUCUGUGAGGUUUCCAAGCUAAACAAAACCUGAAUUUCUGGUGCAAAAAGCAAGUGAGUGAUAGAAACCUCUGCUCCUCUUCCAGCGGGGGGACACUGCAGCCUUUUAAGCUUUCCUAUUAUGCCAAAGAGGUAAAAAAGCAUAAGCAUGCAUUGUGUUAUGCAGUGCUAUUGGUGAUAUAAAAUGAAAGCCAAAGCUAGCCAAGAAACUGUUCUCCUUUCAAAUACAUCUCCACGCACAAGUACUUUUCUUCUUUGCCUUUCCCUGAAGUGAGAGAGCAAUAAGGGCACAAGCGUGCGCUCAGUCUGCUUCAUUUAGAACACAGUGAAGUGACUUCGGUGCCAACAUGAUGAAUCAAAAGCAUUGAAGAUAGCUGGCUUGCUAUUUAUUUUGCUCUGGGCAUGACAAUCAGAUGUGAUUGGGGAUGUGAAGAAGAGCAGCCUUCAACUCACAGAGUUGCACUGUUUUAAACCCUUGUCCUGUGACUUCUCCAGCGUGAUUUCUGUCAUUCCUGCUGGGCAUUGCACGUGGGCCUUUUCAUGGAGAGGUAACGCCCUGCAGCUGUGUGUUAAACAUGGCAACAUACAGGAUACAGUGAUCUCUCCACUCCCAGGAGCCUGGAAGACUGAAGCCCUCUGCCUAGAGGAUGAAAUGCUUCAUGUUUGGAAAAAAAACUAGCAGGCUUUGUCUGUGACAGCUCCUUUCCUGUGGAUGUCCUUCCAGCCAGGCUGCCCGCAGUGUGACAGCAGUGACCCUGUGUGAGGUUUCUUUGAAGGACCUGGGAGACUGCGUGGCUUUUUCUUGUCCCUCGGAGGUGCUUCCCUGGCAGGGAGGGAGGAAAAUGAUUGGCAGUGCUGUCACAGGAGGCAUGCUUACCUGGCUAGGGGAAAGCUUGGUGUGGAAAAGCCAGCUGGUGCAUGGUUUGGGGAAGGAGAGGUUCCUUUCUCUCCAGAAUGGAAUCCCUUAAGGAAGGUAUAGACAAGCAGUUCCUGCUCUUGGGGCUUCUGGCUGGUUAAAACAAAGAGCUGAGCCCAUUUCCAUGGAGAAAUGUAUAAUAGAGCACGUUGCAGUGCUUUUCCUUGCGUGUGCGUGGCUUGGUCACACGUUUAACUAAUAGAUGGUUUGCAUGCAAGAGGUUAUUGCUUUUUUAUACUUUCAAUCAGUCCAUCUCCAUUGGGCAGAGCAGCUUCACAGCCACCAGCACGGGGGAAACUGAGGCACGGGGCUACAGUGGGAUUACAGGCAGAGCCGGGGAUAAGGCUCAGGUUUGCCGAGGCUCAGACCGACGUGCGUCAGAGGGCUGAUUAAAUGGAGAGAUUUGCAAAGGGAAGUGACCUAUAGCUCCAUGGCCGGGACGGUGUUGCUGGACUCGAUCCUUGUGGGCACCUUCCAACUCAAAGGGCAGUUUGGUCAGGGGAAGGGCUGGGUAAGCACGGCGAGCGCGGCCGACAGGGAGCGAGAUGUGGUGAGCUCCUUCCAUUGCCUUAGCCUGGAGCACAGCCAACCCGCGGGGCUCAUCCAGCACUGAACUUUGGAGUCGUUGCAGAUAAACAGCGCUAUAGGCUAAUAAAAGGCUCUGCCACGCAGGGCCCGGUCUGCCCGCACCGCAAUGACUUUGUUACGUGCUGACUGCAGUGAGGGACGGCGCUGGGUUUGCCUUCUCCUGGCCUUGGAUGGAGAGGAGCGGGCAGAACCUCGAGGCCUUUUGCCCCGCACCCGUUUCUGCACGGCAGCCCUUUACAUUUCACAGCGUGCUCCAUUUUUUUUCCUACUCCUAUUCCUUUUGUAGCAUAGCCCCCCUUUUUUGCAACAGUCCCCCUUUCUUCCUUCGUACCGUAUGUUUUAUUUGCUUAUUUCUUUAUGUGCAAUCCCUUAAUCCAUCACCUUGCAUUGCAGCCCCGCUUUUCGGCAUGCAUCCCUUGCUUUCCACAACCCACCUCGUGCAUUUAUUACUUUCCAUCGCAGCUCCCGUUUCUGGCUCGCACCUCCUCUUUUUUUUUUUUUUUUUUUUUUUGCCGUGCUUCCUUUAUCUAUGACUUCCCAUCCCAGCCCUGUUUGUAUCUGCCAUACAGUCCCUCCGUCACGUCGCG